AAAGCGUGCGCAGGCGGUUUUGUAAGACUGUCGUGAAAUCCCCGGGCUCAACCUGGGAAUGGCGAUGGUGACUGCAAGGCUAGAGUUUGGCAGAGGGGGGUAGAAUUCCACGUGUAGCAGUGAAAUGCGUAGAUAUGUGGAGGAACACCGAUGGCGAAGGCAGCCCCCUGGGUCAAAACUGACGCUCAUGUACGAAAGCGUGGGGAGCAAACAGGAUUAGAUACCCCGGU
rnacentral:rRNA from 1 species